AUUUAAGUAGCUUAAAUUAGAGCAUAAUAUUGAAGAUAUUAAGGUAAUAUUUAUUCUUAAAUA
rnacentral:tRNA from 1 species